UACCUUUUUCUAUUUGUUGCAGGUUAAUUGUUUCUUGCCUCAGAUUUAUGGUCUUUGCUGCACAUGGAAUGUUUCAACUUAAUUUUGCCAGUAGCUGUAUUAAGUUUCGUCCUUCUUAUCAAGUUAAAAUGAUGCACAUACUAUGAUAGUUUGAAAAUUGUUUGUCGGUGUAGAGAGUUGGAAUUCAGUUCACACAUUAUAGACGAAAUCUAUAGCUGAGAUUUUUUUACGUUUGUUAUUCUGAUGAAUGAUCCUUGCAUGUCAUUAUUCUCCAAAGGUUUUGUCUAUGAGGUCACAUAAGUGAGUUUUGGGAGCUCAUUGGGGUUGGUUGGGUUAUCUUAGUUCUGAACGUGAUGGAAUGAUUCUGAGGAGAAUUUCUUGAAGCUGCAUAUGCUAAUGGUGCUACUAGUUAGUAUUUUAGUUUUGAAGAUCUUAGUAUGGUUUAAGGUACAACUGUAGAGAAGAAUUUCUUUUUGACAAGGAAGGAGAGGUUUCUUAAUGAUUAUUGACCACUUUGGCUUCGGGGAGUAAUUUUUAUUUUGCUAGUGAAAGCCAUUUCGGAGGUUUAGUACCAUCCAUUUGAGCGUUUUUGGUUGUUGUAUGAUAGGGACCAAACUUCAAAACUUUUCUAUCCGACCUUGGAGUUUAUUGGUUAUUUUCUUUUUGUUGUUUUGUUAGUAAAAGAAGUUUCUAA